GACGAACGCUGGCGGCGUGCUUAACACAUGCAAGUCGAACGGACAGACAGAGAGCUUGCUCUCUUGAAGUUAGUGGCGAACGGGUGAGUAACGCGUAAUCAACCUGCCCUUCAGAGGGGGAUAACAACGGGAAACCGUUGCUAAUACCGCGUACGAUUCAUGAACGGCAUCGUUUAUGAAUGAAAGGUGGCCUCUAUGUAUAAGCUAUCGCUGAAGGAGGGGAUUGCGUCUGAUUAGCUAGUUGGUGGGGUAACGGCCCACCAAGGCAAUGAUACGUGGUACGGCUGGGUAAACGGACGGCCACAUUGGGACUCAGAACCAGCCCAAACUCCUACGGGAGGCAGCAGUGGGGAACCUUCCGCAAUGGACGAAAGUCUGACGGAACUACGACGCGUGAGUGAUGAAGUUUUUCGGAUUGUAAAGCUCUGUUAAUCGGGACGAAAGAGUGCUGCGUGAAUAAUGCAGAAAAGUGACGGUACCGGAAUAGAAAGCCACGGCUAACUACGUGCCAGCCGCCGCCGUAA
rnacentral:rRNA from 1 species